UAAGCAUUUACUGUGCACGAUGGGAGGGCCGGACCCAUAGUACUGUUGCUUGCUGAUCCACAUCUUCUGGAAGGUGGACAGAGAGGCCAAGAUGGAGCCUCC